rnacentral:rRNA from 1 species
AUGCACGUAUCUGUGUUACAAGACGAUGUCUGGUGCAUGCAUACCUCGAUCACAAGUACACACCACCCUUUUUUGCUAUGGGUACCAAGACCUGUGGUCGUCGACAAUAAAAUAUAUAUGGCCUCCAUGAACAACAUCCAUGCCUUGGAUUUGUCAGCCUCAAGUUUCUCCAUAGUUAAGCUCCCACACAUGGUGGCGAAGUAUGGCAUGAGAAACGCUGUGAUGUCACGGGCUAAUGAUGAUUCCGGUGUAUAUCUUAUCCAUGCUAAGGAGCUUCAACUUGGCAUAUGGUUCCACAAGAAGGACAAAUGGUUGCCAGUGGAUACCAUUUGUUUGCGUAAGAUGCUUGAUAAUUUGAGGAUAUCUCAUAAUGAGAAUGUCCAUCUAAACCAAGUGGGGAACAAUGCCGAGUUUGUGCUUUUGCAGGCGGGUCAAUCUAUACUCUACUUGGAUAUUAAGUGCAGGAAGUUGCGUAAAGUGUAUGAGCUUGGAAGAUAUGAUAUACUGCAUUCUAUCCAUCCUUUUAUGAUGAUAUGGCCUCCCACAUUCCCUGCGAUU